UGCCAGCAGCCGCGGUAAUACGGAGAGGGCUAGUGUUAUUCGGAAUAAUUGGGCGUAAAGGGCACGUAGGCGGUGAAUCAAGUUGAAAGUGAAAUCCCAAAGCUUAACUUUGGAACUGCUUUCAAAACUGAUUCACUAGAGUUUGAUAGGGGACAGUGGAAUUUCUAGUGUAGAGAUAGAAUUCAUAAAUAUUAGAAGGAACACCAGUGGCGAAGGCGACUGUCUGGAUCAAAACUGACGCUGAGGUGCGAAAGCAUGGGGAACAAACAGGAUUAGAUA
rnacentral:rRNA from 1 species